GACGAACGCUGGCGGCGUGCUUAACACAUGCAAGUCGAACGAAGUGGCGAACGGGUGAGUAAUACGUGGGUAACCUGCCCUCCUUUUUGGGAUAAGCCUUGGAAACGGGGUCUAAUACCGAAUAAAGGGUGAUGGGCUCGCGGCCUAUCCGCUUGUUGGUGGGGUGAUGGCUUACCAAGGCGGUGACGGGUAGCCGGCCUGAGAGGGUGACCGGCCACAUUGGGACUGAGAUACGGUCCAGACUCCUACGGGAGGCAGCAGUGGGGAAUAUUGCACAAUGGACGAAAGCCUGAUGCAGCCAUGCCGCGUGUGUGAAGAAGGCCUUCGGGUUGUAAAGCACUUUCAGCGGGGAGGCGUUACCCGCAGAAGAAGCACCGGCUAACUCCGUGCCAGCAGCCGCGGUAAUAC
rnacentral:rRNA from 1 species